rnacentral:rRNA from 1 species
CACGUAGUUAGCCGUGGCUUUCUGGUUAGAUACCGUCAAGGGACAAGCAGUUACUCUUAUCCUUGUUCUUCUCUAACAACAGUGCUUUACGAUCCGAAAACCUUCUUCACACACGCGGCGUUGCUCCGUCAGACUUUCGUCCAUUGCGGAAGAUUCCCUACUGCUGCCUCCCGUAGGAGUCUGGGCCGUGUCUCAGUCCCAGUGUGGCCGAUCACCCUCUCAGGUCGGCUAUGCAUCGUCGCCUUGGUAGGCCUUUACCCCACCAACUAGCUAAUGCACCGCGGGCCCAUCUGUAAGUGACAGCCGAAGCCGCCUUUCAAACCUGCUCCAUGCGGAGCUGAUUAUUAUUCGGUAUUAGCUCCGGCUUCCCGGAGUUAUCCCAAUCUUACAGGCAGGUUGCCCACGUGUUACUCACCCGUCCGCCACUAACGACCAAAGGAGCAAGCUCCUAAGGUCAUUCGUUCGACUUGCAUGUAUUAGGCACGCCGCCAGCGUGUCUCGUGCAC